AUGUCUUUUAGGAGAGUAAAGAAAUAUUUGCUAAUGGACGAAACAAAACAACAUAUUUGCACCAUGCUGCGCCUUUCUUUUGACAAGGGCACAUGUGUUUUGCUUGAAGUGUGUGUGCGUGCUCAGUCGUGUCUGACUCUUUACGACCCUAUGGACUGUAGCCCACCAGGAUCCUCUACCUGUGUGAUUCUCCAGGCACAAAUACUGGAAUGGAUUGCCGUUUCCUCCUGCAGGGGAUCAUCCUGACCCAGGAUCGAACCUGCAUUUCUGGUGUCUCUUGCAUUGCAGGCAGGUUCUUUACCACUGAACCACCUGGGAAGUCUACUUUAAGUAUGCCACAGACUAACUAAUGUCUUAAUUUAUCAACAGAUUUGAUAAUAAGUAGUGUUUUCUGAACACUUAUAUCAUGCCAGAUACUAACACUGAAGAUAAGAUUAAUGAGCCAGAGCAGACGUAAUCUCCAUUUUAUGGACCUUACAGUCAUUAAGGAGUUAAUCGUGCUAAUGAAACUAUGAAAGCAAACGGAGAUCUGAAGGAAAGCAGUCUGGUUUUAUGAAUGCAUUUAACCAUGGCAAUGACCAGAUUUUUGAGGGUAUGGCAAUCAGAGAAGUGAUCCUAGAGAUGUGAAGGGUGAAUAAGAAUUACCCAGAUGAAAGCUGUAGCUUGUGAGGAGAGAGCUCCUCCAAGAGAGCUCAGCAAGUGCAAAGGCCCAGUGGUGGGCCUUUGAGGUGCAUCUUUGAGGAACUGAAAGCAGGACAUUGUGAUUAGAGCUCAGAGAACAAGACAGGCAGUGGUUUGGGAUGAGGUGAGAGAGAUCAAUAAAGCUAAGAAUCUGAGGACAGAUGGACCAUCCAUGGAGAGGGAUCAUGGGAAUUGUCUGAAGCACUUUAAAUAGGACUAUGACACAAUCCGAUUUUUAAUUUGAAAGAAACAUUCAUAGUGAAAGUAUAGAGUGCACUCUCAGAAUUAGGAAUUAUAUUCAUUUUGAGAAAUUUGCAGCAUAUGGUUCUUUGGCUCACCAUUCUUAAUCAUUUAUCACAUUAUAUUAUCAUGUAUCUUUGUGACUCUCUCACUCAACAGAUGAACAUCGACAGAGAAGGAUUUUUUAUCCUCACAUCUUUUUAUGCAUUAGCACCUAACACACAAUGCCUAGAACACAUUGGGGGAUCAUUACAUUGUUGAGUACAUGAAUGGAUGAGGGAGAGAUUUGAAUGAAUGAAUGAACAUUAGUGUUAUGAACAGGUAUGGAAUUGUUUGGCCAGCUCAGAUACUCUAAGAUACUCUGUAGCUCUCAAAUUCCUUUCAGAAGUAUAUGAACUUCAUUGUGAAUUCUCUAUUAUUUAGUAGGAUCCCUUGAAUAGAUAGAUUAGAUAUACAGAGUGAUUAAAAUCAGUGACUGGGAGCCUGGACUUAGAGCAGCAGCAUCUGAUAAAUGACAUUCUCAAAUAUAAAGGCAGAAAACUGGGAUAAUUGGUGUUUUUCAGUAGCAAAGAUGCCACUGGAUCAGACUCCACAGGUAGACAGAAUUUCUAGUUUAAGGAAUGCAAAUUCUGGCAAAAGUUGAGUAAAGGGACAGAAUGACAGGGAACUUAAGAGGUGAAACAUUACUUGGAAAGCAUCCAUAUAAGAUGGACAAGGAUAAGAUGGAUAAGUUUGAACCCUGUUGAUUAAGAUCAGUUUGUUGUGAAGUAUUUUAAACCCACCAGAGUUGCAUCCAGUUUGUUCUUAAAGGAAGAGCUGACUUUUUUCAUGUGGAUUUUCCUUUUUUUACCCUUCCCAAAUAACAUAAAAUAGUUAAGGACAAAAGUAGAAAAUUCUAAUAGAACUGUGUUUAAAGGUAAAACUGGUGGAAUGCUUGAGAUUUCCUGGAGCACUGUUGAGAUGAUGUUGGUUUGGGAUUGUGAGUGGUGCCUCAGUGCCUAAGAGGUUGAUCAGUGACCACUAAAUAAUCUUGGAAUGUCUUCAUGCUUAAAUUUCAGUUCCACAUGUGCUAUCCUUGCAAGGUAAAAAAUGAAUCCUAACAGGGGCUAAUGCUUAUUGGCAGGGCUGGUAUCCGGGAACUUUUUCAGUGAUGUCAAAUCCAGAACUCAUGGGUGGUUUCCAAUUACUGC
ensembl:lncRNA